rfam:Gossypium hirsutum cultivar TM-1 unplaced genomic scaffold scaffold666.1, whole genome shotgun sequence
UGUUAAAAGUUUCAUCUAUUUUGUACUAUCAAAAAUUGGCGUAGCUGAUGAAAUAACCAAAUAAUAAUACGUAGCGUGUUACAUGUACCUCAUGUUAACAUACAAUGAUCAAAUUUGAACAAUAGAAAUGAAUGAAAUUUUUAACA